UAGGAAGUGAUUGCUCUGUUCUUCUUUGUAAUCAUGCAUACGUUUGCUAAUAAGGUAUGAAUCUGGGAAUGUGGAAGCUGCUUCAUAAGCUACACGGUAGUUUAACAUUUGCAAGCACAUAUUUCAGCAUUUGAGGAUAGGCUCUAGCAUGAACUUUUAUAUCAUGAAUCUUAAACUGGUAUUGUAGUUAUUGUUAGCGGCUUUGAUUGUUUGAAUUGAGAGCAUAUUAUUCUUUGACAUAUUAUUUUUUAUUGGAACUGUUUCAUUGCUUGUAAUUGAUUGAGCUUGUGAUUGCAUUGUUAAUAUGAUGAUGAAUUAGUCAAGAUUGGAUAGCAUCCCAAAAAGAGACAUCCAUGGCAAAAUGGACCGAGACUUCCACCAACUUGUUUGUGAGUUUGCUGGUAGAAGAGAUCAAAAAGGGAAAUCGCACCUCUUGUACUUUCAACAAAGUAGAGUGGAAAAACAUAAGGACCGCAUUCAACAACAAGAUAGAAGUUCAAUAUACCCAAGCACAAUUGAAAAAUAAGACGAACAAGCCGAGAACACAAUAUGGUAGUUUUAAGAAGCUUUUUUCACAAUCUGGAUUUGGCUGGGAUAAUGUCAAUAAAAGAGUGACCGUCAAUGAUUCAAGUAUAUGGGAACUUCACAUGAUGGUACAAUGGAA